AGUUUUGUAGUGUAGAAGCAUGCCAGAUUGCAAACCUGGUGGCGCAGAGUAACUCCUGCCAAAACUU
rnacentral:tRNA from 1 species